AUAUCUUUCUGUACGGGAAGGAUGAGAAGCUUCGACUAAGGUUCGAUUCGAGCGCAGCGAGAAAGCGUUGCCGCAGGC
rnacentral:sRNA from 1 species